rnacentral:lncRNA from 1 species
GUUCUUAAUAAUCCUUAAAUUUUUUUUUUUUUUGUGUGUGUGUGUCUUGUGUCUUUGGACCUAGAGGAAGUUUCACUCCUUAGGAUUUACAUAAAGAAAUGAAUGGCCUUGAAGGUUGAGAGAAAGAACAGAGAGACCUGCAGGAGAAUGCACCAAGCAGAAGAAUCACAGAAUCACAGAAUUUCUAGGUUCCGUUUCUUCAAUCUACUUUGGAAAUGA